AAUAAUAAUAAUAAUAAUAACAACAAAGAGAGAUAUUGAUGCGAAACAUAAAAACUAAUCAGAACUAAAUUACACAUUAUUAAUUAUAGACAACAUACUUUUAUUGAUAAUCGCAUGUAAACACGUAAAACAGCAACUUUAGUUUUAUUUCAUAGCAUUACCAAACAUGAAAAUAAAAAGAUGAACUAGACAUGUAAUAUAGUUUAGUGGUUAAGAUGGAUAUGUAUAUGCACCUUCAACUUCAAGGUCAAAGGUCUUUCAAUCCCCACCUCUCGACUUUAUUGUAAACAUAGGUGCAUAAGAUAGAAAAUAAAGUGUUACAACUUCUUAUUUGUUUUUUCAUAUGUUGAAGUUGUAGAGUAAAUUAGUCACGAUCGAGGGCAUACAUUAUAUGGAUAACCAAGCUUUCGGCCGCAACCGUUAACAAUUAGAUUGAGAUCAAUGGGAAUGCGUAAAAGGAUGAGGCCUCCAAUUUUCAAUUUAAGGGCAGUGCAAAGACAAACCCUAGCUUCAAGAUCCACUAGCCCUUCAAUCAAGCUACAACAUUGAGGGUAGCUUUGGUUUGGUUGGCUGUUAAGAACUAGGUUAACAAGGUUUAACACAUUUGCACAUGCCUCUAUGUUCAGGGUAUUUCUAGGGCAAGUGACCCCAUUGUUGGUAGGUGGGGGUGGGGUUAGGCUUGGUGGGGGUGGGGUUAGGCUUGGUGGGGGUGGGGUUAUGGUUGAUGGGGGUGGGGUAAGGCUUGGUGGGUGUACAGGCUGGUAAGAAGUGACAAGAGAAAAGAAGAGAAGGUUUAGAAGAAAGAAGAUAGCUAGUGGAGAGGUUUUGUUGAAGGAAUACAUUAUUUUUUAAUGAAGUAAAGAGUUUCUUCAAACAAGGAUGGAGAAAAAAGUGUAGCGAUGGAAGGGUUUUUAUAUUGUUAAUUGUGCCAUAGAUAAGAUGAUGAGUUGUAAUUUAAUUAAUACCAACUUCAAUGCUCAUCUUAAAAUUCAACUACGAUCAAAAUGUUGGAUGUAUUAUUCAACUUUGUUUGAUACGUCUCUCUAUAAUACUACCAAUUUUGUUGUUUAAUGUACUAUCUCUUCCAAUUUUCUUUUAUUUUAUCUAGUUGAAAUAUUAUGGUGCACUUACUAAUUCACAGUGUAUUUUUGUCUAAAUAUUUGUAUAUAAUUAGUCUUUUGUUUUUUUUGUGUUGUGUGAUAUAUUUACAUGUUGUUUUGGCUUUAUUUGAUUACGCUUUCAUUUUCUAAAUUUAUGUACGUUCCUUCUCAAUUUUGUUCCGCUGAGUGUUCAACUUUUUCAAAAUAAUGUUUUAAUUAUUGCUAAAAUGGUUUUCGAAUCUUCAUUUGAUUUUUGAAAUAUUGGUAGCAAUUAAGCAAAUAAGGAUGUAUAGUGGAAACUUACAAGUGUACAUAAGCUGAGUUUUAAAAAAUAAUUAAAUAGUUAUUCAAUAGAGUUAAUGAGAUAGUACGGAUUUCUUAAAAAUUAAAAUUGUUAAUUAUUAGACUAAACAAGAAGAAAAAAUAUUAACUACGCUUUCUAAUAAAAUUUAUGUAAGAAAAAAUGGUUGGCUUUCUUUGACUACGCUUGUGUGUUUUGAAUUUACGCUUUCUAAUAAAAUUUAUGGAUGUUUCCUCUCAAAUUUCUUUCUUUGGUUUUCACAUUGGCUUUUCUCAAAAAGCAUUUGAAUAUUGUGGAUCAAAUUUUUUUAAAAUUUAAUAUAUCUAAUGAGUCUUUUACCAAAUAUAACGAAUCAGUCAAAUAUUUUGAAAAUUUUAAUUAUAUGGCAAAAAAAAUUUAGAAAAAGUAGUUCAUACCACGUCUUUUUUGCAUAUUGCAAAUAUGACAAAUAUGAUAACUAAUUAAAUAUAUCAAAGGGCAUGACUAUCAUAGGGCUAUCCACUUUUAAAUUUGUUACUUUUGCAAUUUUGAAGAUGUAGUGACAUGAAUCCUUUUAUCAUAAUUUUUUUUGCUAUUUUUGUAAACACCCCAAAUAUUUAUACUAUAUAGAACAAUUUUGACAACGUAAAAGGUCCACAAGCUCACAAUGAAAAAUACCAAAAAUACCCUGCGAUUAAUUGACACCCAACCGACGUAAUAUAUUUUUGGUAAACGAUCAUUUAGAUUUGACUAUUCUUUUUUACAGAAUUGUUUCGAUCUUUUUUCAAGAUUCUUUGCACACAAUCGUUUAGAUUUGGUUAGUUUUGCUACACGGUCGUUUAUAUUUAAUCGUUUAAAUUUGGGUAGUCAUAUCUAAACUAUUUUUUAAAAAAAAAUUUUGUACACGAUCGUUUCUAUUUGGUAUACGAUCAUUUGGAUUAAUUUUUUAAAUUUGGGUAGUCAAAUUUCAAUAAUUUUUUUUCAUGAAAUUUUGGUACACAAUCGUUUAGAUUUGGUAGACGAUCGUUUCAAUUUGGCUAUUUUUUCUUACACGUUUAAAUUUGGCUAUCCACUUAUAAACAACUUUUUUAGAAUUCUUUGGUACACGAUCGUUUAGAUUUUGCUAUCUAAUAUUCCAACGACUUUUUUUCACAAUAUCUAGAAUCAAAUAACAGUUUGGAAAAAAAAUAAAACAAAACUUACGAAAGAAAAGAAAAAUAUGAUAGAAAGGAAAAUAAAAAUUAUGUUGAAAAAAAAGGAUGACAAGGAAGGGUAUAAAUAUUUAAAAAAAAAUCCAUAAGAAAAGAGAAGA
rnacentral:lncRNA from 1 species